rnacentral:rRNA from 11 species
UAUUACAGCCUAGGUACCCUUAAGGCACCAGAUCACACCUGAUCUUAGCAACUAAUCAGGGCCAGCUCUAGUUAGUCCUUGGAUGGGAUAACACUGAUUAAUACAGGUGUGGUAGGGC